rnacentral:sRNA from 1 species
UUGCAUCUGGGGCCUGUGAGAAUGAGAACCUCCGGGGGCAGGAGGUUCGACUCGAGCGAAGCGAGAGAACGUUGCGUCAGCAACGGCCCGCAGGGCGAGGCUCGUUGCGCAGUCGCGCUCCAUCGCCUUCA